GGUAAUAUAACCACUCAGCACAGCAUUUCUAUGAUUUGAAUUGGCCAAUUGCAUGUGACGUCAGCGUCACAGAUAUAAGAUGGCAAGCAAUUAAACCACCAAGUCAUAAUAGCAUACGUACGGAAAUAACGGAUUCGCAGAACAGCAUACGUAAUUCGCAGAACAGCAUACGUAAUUCGCAGAACAGCACACGUAAUUCGCAGAGCAACACACAUAAUUCGCAUAAUAGCACACGUAAAAGUCCAGACACGUAAAAGUCCAGACAAAUAACUCGAAUAGCAC
rnacentral:lncRNA from 1 species